GGGGAAUAUUGCGCAAUGGGCGGAAGCCUGACGCAGCGACGCCGCGUGGGGGAUGAAGGCCUUCGGGUUGUAAACCUCUUUCGGCAGGGACGAAGGUGACGUGUACCUGCGGAAGAAGCGCCGGCUAACUACGUGCCAGCAGCCGCGGUAAUACGUAGGGCGCGAGCGUUGUCCGGAAUUAUUGGGCGUAAAGAGCUCGUAGGCGGCUGGUCGCGUCUGCCGUGAAAGCCCGCGGCUUAACCGUGGGUCUGCGGUGGAUACGGGCCGGCUAGAGGCAGGCAGGGGCAAGUGGAAUUCCUGGUGUAGCGGUGAAAUGCGCAGAUAUCAGGAGGAACACCGGUGGCGAAGGCGGCUUGCUGGGCCUGUCCUGACGCUGAGGAGCGAAAGCGUGGGGAGCGAAC
rnacentral:rRNA from 1 species